GGUCAAGUUAUUAAGGGUGCAGGGCGGAUGCCUUGGCACUAGGAGCCGAUGAAGGACGUGAUAAGCUGCGAUAAGCUUCGGGGAGUUGCACGUAAACUUUGAUCCGAAGAUUUCCGAAUGAGGAAACUCACUUAGAGUAAUGUCUAAGUAUCAUUAAGUGAAUACAUAGCUUAAUGAGGGGAACUCAGGGAACUGAAACAUCUAAGUACCUGAAGGAAGAGAAAGAAAUUCGAUUCCGUAAGUAGCGGCGAGCGAACGCGGAUUAGCCCAAACCAAUAAAGUUUUCUUUAUUGGGGUUGCGGACAUAUCAUAACGAAGAGGUAUCGUAAUUGAAGAGGUUUGGAAAGACCCACCACAGAAG
rnacentral:rRNA from 1 species